GGGUGUAGCUCAGUGGUAGAGCACUUGCCUAGCAUGUGUGAGCCCCUGGGUUCGAUCCUCGGCACCACA
rnacentral:tRNA from 1 species